UACGGGGGGGGCAAGCGUUGUUCGGAAUUACUGGGCGUAAAGGGCUCGUAGGUGGCCAACUAAGUCAGACGUGAAAUCCCUCAGCUUAACUGGGGAACUGCGUCUGAUACUGGAUGGCUUGAGUUCGGGAGAGGGAUGCGGAAUUCCGGGUGGAGUGGUGAAAUGCGUAGAGAUCCGGAGGAACACCGAAGGCGAAGGCAGUGUCCUGGCUGGUGACUGACGCUGAGGUGCGAAAGCUAGGGGAGCGAACGGG
rnacentral:rRNA from 1 species